rnacentral:rRNA from 1 species
GACUGGGGCGGUACGUCUGUCAAAGGGCAACGCAGGUGUCCCAAGGCGAGCUCAGCGUGGACGGAAACCACACGUCGAGCAAAAAGGCAAAAGCUCGCUCGAUCUCGAUUUUCAGAACGAAAAAAGAAAAACAACCG